rnacentral:rRNA from 1 species
UGGGGAAUAUUGGACAAUGGGCGAAAGCCUGAUCCAGCCAUGCCGCGUGUGUGAAGAAGGUCUUCGGAUUGUAAAGCACUUUAAGUUGGGAGGAAGGGCAGUAAGCGAAUACCUUGCUGUUUUGACGUUACCGACAGAAUAAGCACCGGCUAACUCUGUGCCAGCAGCCGCGGUAAUACAGAGGGUGCAAGCGUUAAUCGGAAUUACUGGGCGUAAAGCGCGCGUAGGUGGUUCGUUAAGUUGAAUGUGAAAGCCCCGAGCUUAACUUGGGAAUUGCAUUCGAUACUGGUUAACUAGAGUGUGGGAGAGGAUGGUAGAAUUCCAGGUGUAGCGGUGAAAUGCGUAGAGAUCUGGAGGAAUACCGAUGGCGAAGGCAGCCAUCUGGCCUAACACUGACGCUGAGGUACGAAAGCAUGGGGAGCAAACAGG